AUGCAGUCGAGCGGAGACAGUGAGUAGCUUGCUAUGAGCUGUUUUAGCGGCGGACGGGUGAGUAACGCGUGAGCAACCUUUCCCAGACAGGGGAAUAACACACCGAAAGGUGUACUAAUACCGCAUAAGACCACGGUUUCACAUGGAACUGAGGUAAAAGAUUUAUCGGUUUGGGGUGGGCUCGCGUCCGAUUAGGUAGUUGGUGAGGUAACGGCCCACCAAGCCGACGAUCGGUAGCCGACCUGAGAGGGUGAUCGGCCACAUUGGGACUGAGACACGGCCCAAACUCCUACGGGAGGCAGCAGUGGGGAAUAUUGGGCAAUGGGGGGAACCCUGACCCAGCAACGCCGCGUGGAGGAAGAAGGUUUUCGGAUCGUAAACUCCUGUCCUUGGAGACGAGUAGAAGACGGUAUCCAAGGAGGAAGCCCCGGCUAACUACGUGCCAGCAGCCGCGGUAAUACGUAGGGGGCAAGCGUUGUCCGGAAUAAUUGGGCGUAAAGGGCGCGUAGGCGGCUCGGUAAGUCUGGAGUGAAAGUCCUGCUUUUAAGGUGGGAAUUGCUUUGGAUACUGUCGGGCUUGAGUGCAGGAGAGGUUAGUGGAAUUCCCAGUGUAGCGGUGAAAUGCGUAGAGAUUGGGAGGAACACCAGUGGCGAAGGCGACUAACUGGACUGUAACUGACGCUGAGGCGCGAAAGUGUGGGGAGCAAACAGGAUUAGAUACCCUGGUAGUCCACACUGUAAACGAUGAAUGCUAGGUGUAGGGGGUAUCGACCCCUUCUGUGCCGCAGUCAACACAAUAAGCAUUCCGCCUGGGGAGUACGGCCGCAAGGUUGAAACUCAAAGGAAUUGACGGGGGCCCGCACAAGCAGCGGAGCAUGUGGUUUAAUUCGACGCAACGCGAAGAACCCUUACCAGGUCUUGACAUCCACUUAAACUUACA
rnacentral:rRNA from 1 species